rnacentral:rRNA from 1 species
AGAUAACUGGAUAUUAGCCAGUUACCCUUCCUCACCCCUGAAAGUGCUUUACAACCCUAAGGCCUUCUUCACACACGCGGCAUGGCUGGAUCAGGCUUCCGCCCAUUGUCCAAUAUUCCCCACUGCUGCCUCCCGUAGGAGUCUGGGCCGUGUCUCAGUCCCAGUGUGACUGGUCAUCCUCUCAGACCAGUUAGAGAUCGUCGCCUUGGUAGGCCUUUACCCUACCAACUAGCUAAUCUCACGCAGGCUCAUCUAAUAGCGGAAGGCUCCGAAGAGUCCCCUCCUUUCCCCCUUAGGGUGUAUGCGGUAUUAGCAUGCGUUUCCACAUGUUGUCCCCCUCUACUAGGUAGAUUCCUACGCGUUACUCACCCGUCCGCCGCUCGUCAGCAGGAGCAAGCUCCCCUGUUACCGCUCGACUUGCAUGUGUUAAGCCUGCCGCCAGCGUUCAAUCUGAGCCAUGAUCAAACUCU